AGCCACCCUGCCGCCAUUAACAGCACUAGGCAGGCAGUGCGCAGAGCUGAGAACUUGCCCCAGGUUACCCGCCUCCCAGCUGCUAAACAAAAGGGAGGCUUUUCAGCUGGUUCAAAUUGUUACAAAGUUCAGCUAGAGAUUUGCUUUUACCUGCGGCGUUUUCCCCAUACCACUGGCUGCCCUCCCGAAGAAUUCCUGUGAUGCCAGGCAGGAAUGGCCUGGUUGGAGACCAGCUAGCUCCCAGGGCCUUUCCCGCUGCUUCCUCUACCCCUGUAUUUCGCUGGGCUCUCUAAAUGGAUUCAGCUCCAGGAUGGAGUGCAAUGGUGCGAUCUUGGCUCACUGCAACCUCUGCCUCCUGGAUUCCAGCGAUUCUCCUGCCUCAGCCCCCUGAGUAGCUGGGAUUACAGGUGCCUGCCACCACGCCCGGCUAAUUUUUGUAUUUUUAGUAGAGACGGGGUUUCACCAUGUUGGCCAGGCUGGUCUAGAACUCCUGACCUCAGGUGAUCCACCUGCCUUGGCCUCCCAAAGUGCUGGGAUUACAGACGUGAGCCACCGCAUAUACAUUUAUGUAUAUUUAUAUAUUAUAACACAGAGUUGCUGGCUCUCUGUUUCAGGAAACUCAAGUGUGGUCAUUUGAAUUUCUGCACUUCGUGAAAAUUGCACUCAAGUCUUUGGUGCAUUGUUCUACUGGAUUGUAUGCCCUUUAUGUGGAGUUAAGACUUAAAAAAAUUACACUGAAUGAAACCCUUUGUUAAUUUCCUGAGUUAUAAAUACCUACUCCCACUCUAUGAUACAUCAGUAUAUUCUGUUGAUGGAGUGUUUGAUGACUAGAGGAUUUUAUUUUAGUUAUCUAAUUUAACAAACUUUUUAUUGGAAGUGAUUGUAAUUUUUUCUUUCAAACUUUACUGUGAUCUAAUUCUAAAGUAAUAAUCUAAUAUUUAUGUACAUAAUUCAACUGGACUAUAUUUUAUAUUUAUGAUAUGAAGUAUGGCUCCAAUUUUAUUCUCAUCCACGUGUGCAUCAAGUGCCCAAUUUGUUUAUUGAAAAAACUGUUCCUUCUCCACUACCAUCUUUUUAAUUAUUGUAUGUCCAUAUAUCUAUGGUUCUGUUUCUAUGCUCUCUUUUUUAUUCAUUUAAUGUAGCUAAGCUUGCAACCUUACCACAGCAAUUUCCGUAAUUUUAGCUUUAUAAAUCUCCACAACAUUUUUAUUUUCAAGAAUGUCUGGGACAUUCUUAGUCCUUUACAUUUCUGUACGCAUUUCAGAUUCAGCUUGCCAUUCUGAACAUGACACACACAUACACACACACACACUCCACCUUACCACCUCAGUAGACACUCCUGUUAGCAAAGGAUUGAGAUUGCACUUUUUGUGAAUUAUGCACUGAAUCUAUAAAUGAUAUUUAGAGAACUGACAUCUUUACAACAAUUAACCUUUGAAUCUAGGAAUCUAGUAUAUAUCACUAUUUUUAUACUUAACGUCUGGGCCUUGACAUAUUUAAUGCUUUUUAAAUGUUUUUGUUGUGUCUUUAUUUUAAGAUAACACACAUAUUUACUGUGUUUUGCUGAAGUUUAUUAUGGCAUAUCAAAUUUAUGUCCAGUAAAUUUGCUAAACUCUCUUAAUUUUAAUAAUGUAUCUAAGAUGAUUUGGCUUUUUUUAUGGGCACAAUUGUAGUAUAUGUGAAAUAAUGUUUAAUUCAUUAAUUUUAAACAUUUCCUUUUAAAAAAUUAUGGAUUUAUAGCCUUAAAUUAAAUGUAUAUUAAUUAUGUUCUAGAUAUUUGGAUGCAUCCUACAUUGCUUAAUACACAGUAUGUUUAUUAUCUUACAGAUAAAUUUUUAAAAUUUUUUAUUUUGAUCUCUUUGAGCAGUGGGUUACUAGAAAUACAUUUCUCAACAUUCAAGGAUAUAGAUAUUUCUACAGAUCUUCAUUCCUGAUUUCAAGUAUUGCUUUGAAUCUGACAAUAUAUUGACUGUUUUGAUAUUUGGUGACAUUUGCUUUAUGACCCAAUAGACACUAAUUUUAGUUAAUGUUACACAUAUGCUUGUAAAGCACGCAUAUCCUAUGGCUGUUUGUGAAUUAUGUGGUUCAAAUCUAUAACCUAUUUUCUUUUUUUUGGUCAGGUAGUUUUAUAAAGUACUAAGAAAUGUGUCUUAAAAUCUCUCACUAUAAUGUAAGGCAUGUACAGUUUUGUUUUUCCUUGUAGUGCUUUUCUAUUUAGAUUACUGGCUGGAUAAAAAUUACAGAUUGUUUUAUCUAUCUUGAUCAAAUGAAGCUUUUAUUAUCAUAAAUAGGUCUUCUUUAUCUCUAGUAAUACUUUAUUUUGUAUUAAAAUCUGUUUUGCCUAUUUUAAUAAAAUUAUUUUGCUAACUUUGAUGUUUAAAUAAUAGUUUGUCAGUUUUCAUCCUUUUUUUUGAAGCUUUCUGAAUGUUUUUGCUUGAUGUGCCUCGUAUGAACAACAUAAUAUUAUAAUUAUAUUUCUUUUUCUUGUUGGCUUCUUUUAUUUUUUUAAGCUGACAUUUUAUUACUGAGAAAGAAAAAUAUACAAGAUGUUGGGAAACAAUUUAUUUGCUUCUACCAUAAAGA
rnacentral:lncRNA from 1 species